CAGCGUCCCUUCCUCCGCCUACUCAGCUGCGACGUGGCAGCCGAGUGAGGGCCUCGUGGUGAUGU
rnacentral:pre_miRNA from 17 species